ACGGAAGGCAGCAGUGGGGAAUAUUGCACAAUGGGCGAAAGCCUGAUGCAGCGACGCCGCGUGAGCGAUGAAGUAUUUCGGUAUGUAAAGCUCUAUCAGCAGGGAAGAUAAUGACGGUACCUGACUAAGAAGCACCGGCUAAAUACGUGCCAGCAGCCGCGGUAAUACGUAUGGUGCAAGCGUUAUCCGGAUUUACUGGGUGUAAAGGGUGCGUAGGUGGUAUGGCAAGUCAGAAGUGAAAACUAUGGGCUCAACCCAUAGACUGCUUUUGAAACUGUCAAACUAGAGUGCAGGAGAGGAAAGAAGAAUUCCUAGUGUAGCGGUGAAAUGCGUAGAUAUUAGGAGGAACACCAGUGGCGAAGGCGGCUUACUGGACUGUAACUGACGUUGAGGCUCGAAAGCGUGGGGAGCAAACAGGAUUAGAUACCCUGGUA
rnacentral:rRNA from 1 species